rnacentral:sRNA from 1 species
AAAGAAUGUUGUGGAUGAUAGAGGUUAUGAAUCUCUAUAUUGGAGUGGGCGCAUUGGCUAUGAAAGAAGAAUCCAGAACGAAAGCAACGAUACCCAUCGCUAUAAUAGUCUUUACCUAGAUUGCAGCCGUCACAUUUUAGCCCACGCGUUUUUACUAGUGAGUAAAUUUCCUUUUAGUAUUUCCAUAGAUGA